AGUUACACCCUCCAUCUAUAAAUAAGGAUCCUCAGAUGUAUUCUUCUCUAAGCUGGUAACUCUAUCUCGAAAUUCUGUCAAAAUUUUCACUCGAGCACUCCAUUUCUGUUGAAGCAGAGUACUGACUUGAGCGUCGAAGGAUCUUGUCGGAGCACCCCCAACUCCAGUUUAGACUUUUUUUGCAGGUCCCAGCGGCGGCCGCGGUCAUCCCAGCUCCAGCUUCUCCGACUUCGAUAGAAUUCUGCACCAACAGAAUUCAGAGUACUGACUUGAGCGUCGGAGGGU
rnacentral:lncRNA from 1 species